rnacentral:tRNA from 1 species
GGGGCCUUGGCGCAACGGUAGCGCGUGUGACUCCAGAUCACAAGGUUGGGAGUUCGAAUCUCUCAGGCCUCA